rnacentral:rRNA from 1 species
UACGGAGGGUGCAAGCGUUAUCCGGAUUCACUGGGUUUAAAGGGUGCGUAGGUGGGUUGGUAAGUCAGUGGUGAAAUCUCCGAGCUUAACUUGGAAACUGCCAUUGAUACUUUCAGUCUUGAAUAUUGUGGAGGUCAGCGGAAUAUGUCAUGUAGCGGUGAAAUGCUUAGAUAUGACAUAGAACACCAAUUGCGAAGGCAGCUGGCUACACAUAUAUUGACACUGAGGCACGAAAGCGUGGGGAUCAAACAGG